CGAAGGGUGCAAGCGUUGCUCGGAAUUAUUGGGCGUAAAGGGUAGGUAGGUGGUAAUAAAAGUCUGGGGUGAAAUCCCUGAGCUCAACUCAGGACGUGCCUUGGAAACUUUAUUACUAGAGUGCUGGAGAGGUCCGCAGAAUUCCCGGUGUAGCGGUGAAAUGCGUAGAGAUCGGGAGGAAUACCAGAGGCGAAGGCGGCGGACUGGACAGCAACUGACACUCAACUACGAAAGCGUGGGUAGCAAACAGGAUUAGAUACCCUGGUAGUCCACGCUGUAAACGAUCGGUACUAGAGUUCGUGGGAGUUGACCCCUGCGGACUCGGAGCUAACGCGAUAAGUACCGCGCCUGGGAAGUACGGUCGCAAGACUA
rnacentral:rRNA from 1 species